UCACAGCCAGUAAUCUGCAGACUCAAC
rnacentral:piRNA from 1 species